rnacentral:rRNA from 1 species
AGGUGCGAUCAUACUAUAGUUAAUGUACCUGAUCUCAUAAGAACUCCACAGUUAAGCACACUUGGGCCAGAGUAGUACUGGGAUGGGUGAGCUCCCGGGAAGUCCUGGUGUUGCACCCU